UGGGCCUUUUGAAAUCUCAGCCCCCUCUUAGUCUGACGCUGACGGCUGCCCUCAGGACGAGUUUGCCGUGAUGAAACGCACAUGUGCACGCCAAACCCGUCCUCUCAGAGGGGACAUCUGAAGACCAAGAACAGGUCAUGCUCUUUUCAUUCCUCCAGGCUUUGAACUGAGGUCCUUUGUUAGUCGGUGAUCUGAGGUAAACCACAACGCUGCGUCUCACUUCCUCGCUUUCAGUCGGCAUGUCGCACUUCUCUCAUUCAAAAAGAGGAACUUGACAGGAAAAAAGGGACACACAGUGUGCUGGUUCACAAUUUAGAGGAAGUAACGUAAAAAAGGACAUAGGUAGAAGGGUGUGCAGUCUGGGUUUAAGACCUGAAAGCUUGUUUUGGAGGUGAUUUUGAUUUUAAAUGUUGAGCAUUCAUAAAUCUGUUGAUGGUGUUUACAUCGACACAGACAGUGAAAGAGAGCAGCUGUAGAGAAAAUGAAAAAAAAAAAGGGAAAUGUUUUCACCAUGCGGUGCAAAGGUUCACAAACUCGGCCUGGCUGCCUCGACUCGGUUACAUAACGGCGAACAUGUGAAGGGAAAAACAGCAGGAAAAAAAGGGGAAAGAUAGAAGAGAGAGAGAGAGAAUGAGAGAGAAAGAGAGAGAACAGGGGGAGGAGGGGGGAAGCAAAUGAUGUCAUACGUGUCAUAGUACGAGAGGGGGAUCGAGUCAGCAGGGUAAACACACUCAUCUUUUCUCUCUCUCUCUCUCUCUCUCUCUCUCUCUCUCUCUCUCUCUCUCUCUCUCUCUCAUUCUUUCAUCCAGAGCAGGAUGCCGAAACGCUGAAUGCAGACCUCGGGUUUCAGCAGAUGUGGCCAAACGGCCUUAUUUGGCGUCUCGGGAAAGAAAAAGAGAAAAAAAAAAGGCAAGAAAAGGAGGCGGACAAAAUUCCACAUCGGGUUUUUAUCAAACAAAGACUGAUGUGGAGUCAGCAGCAGCAGCAGACUUUAAAACCUCACCUCCUACGAAAGCUUAAUAACAGUUUCUGGAGGCGAUCAGGUCGGCCAUUCUGGGGCCUUUGAGUCUUUCUUCCAUGUAAACAAAGACGCAUUUUUUACUUCAUUUCAGAAGAAAGCACACCUGAGUGAUAAAAACAGUCAAAACACUCAACAAA